rnacentral:rRNA from 1 species
AGCAUCUGAAGUGAAGUAGG